rnacentral:tRNA from 1 species
CGGGGUGUAGCGCAGUCCGGUAGCGUGCUUCGUUCGGGACGAAGAGGUCGCUGGUUCGAAUCCAGUCACCCCGA